UACAGAGGGUGCAAGCGUUGUUCGGAAUUACUGGGCGUAAGGCGCGUGUAGGCGGUUUAGUAAGUCAGAUGUGAAAGCCCUUGGCUUAACCGAGGAAUGGCAUUUGACACUACUAGACUAGAGUAUCGGAGGGGAUGGUGGAAUUCCCGGUGUAGAGGUGGAAGUCGUAGAUAUCGGGAGGAACACCUGUGGCGAAGGCGACCAUCUGGAAGACUACUGACGCUGAGACGCGAAAGCGUGGGGAGCAAACAGG
rnacentral:rRNA from 1 species